rnacentral:rRNA from 1 species
CCUACGGGAGGCAGCAGUGAGGAAUAUUGGUCAAUGGACGCGAGUCUGAACCAGCCAAGUCGCGUGAAGGAUGACUGCCCUAUGGAUUGUAAACUUCUUUUGUAAAGGAAUAAAACGAGGCACGUGUGCCUUUUUGCAUGUACUUUAUGAAUAAGGAUCGGCUAACUCCGUGCCAGCAGCCGCGGUAAUACGGAGGAUCCGAGCGUUAUCCGGAUUUAUUGGGUUUAAAGGGUGCGUAGACGGGAUGUUAAGUCAGUUGUGAAAGUUUGCGGCUCAACCCUAAAAUAGCAAUUGAUACUGGCAGUCUUGAGUACAGUUGAGGUAGGCGGAAUUCGUGGUGUAGCGGUGAAAUGCUUAGAUAUCACGCAGAACCCCGAUUGCGAAGGCAGCAUACCAACCUGUGACUGACACUGAUGCUCGAAAGUGUGGGUAUCAAACAGGAUUAGAUACCCCAGUAGUC